rnacentral:rRNA from 1 species
CCAAUAGCGUAUAUUAAAGUUGUUGCAGUUAAAAAGCUCGUAGUUGAAUUUCGGGAUCAAUAUAUUGGUCAUGCUUAGGUAUGUACUGGUAUUAUUGAUUUCUCCCUUCUGAAGAACCAUGAUGUCAUUAAUUUGAUGUCGUGGGGAAUCAGGACUGUUACUUUGAAAAAAUUAGAGUGUUUAAAGCAGGCUUUCGCUUGAAUACAUUAGCAUGGAAUAAUGAAAUAGGACGUUUGAUUCUAUUUUGUUGGUUUCUAGGAUCGACGUAAUGAUUAAUAGGGGUAGUUGGGGGCAUUAGUAUUCAAUUGUCAGAGGUGAAAUUCUUGGAUUUAUUGAAGACUAACUACUGCGAAAGCAUUUGCCAAGGAUGUUUUCAUUAAUCAAGAACGAGAGUUAGGGGAUCGAAGACGAUCAGAUACCGUCGUAGUCUUAACCAUAAACUAUGCCGACUAGGGAUCGGAUGAUGUUAAUUUUUUAAUGACUCAUUCGGCGCCUUACG